AAAACAAAACACGCGUUUCCAUUCCCAAAUUUCAGAAACAUUCAUCCAUUCCAAUAUUCAAGAUUCAAAAAACACAAUUCGCGAUUUCUUCCCAAAAUCGAUUCAUCUGUUCUUCUUCUUCUUAAAAUUGAUUCUCAAAACGCAAUUCAGAAACGCGAUUCAUUUCAUUCAGAUUUGUUGCUUCUUCUGGCAAAGAACCCUAAUUCGCUAUGUUCUGUUGAUUAUUGUCGCAAACUCAGAAAUUGAUUCUUCUUCCUAAACUUACGAACCCUAGUCCGUUCAUUGACCUGAGAAAGAUGAGGAAACACGAUUCAUUCAAAGAAAUCGACGAACCCUAGCCUCAUUCAAAGAGAUCAACGCGAUUAUUUCCUUUCUUUCAGACAUCUAUUCUCACAAGGUAUCUUCAGCUUCAAGAUGAAGGGGUAACUAAAAAGGUAGUACUAUUUUAUUUUAUGGUAUUGAAAUUGGAAUACACCUUUAAUGAGGUUAUAUAUGUUACCUUGAUUAACUAGUAUGAAUUACCUAGUUUCCGAUUUGAAUCGUUCACUGAGUUAGACUACCUAUGUUGGAUGGAUUGCUCUGUCGAGGAUUCACCACUAAAUGGUUUUGCAUUUAGAUUUCUUAUUUCUAUUAUCUUUUGAAUCUUUGAUUUAGUUUCUGAUGAAGAAACGUUGCAGGGGUUUGUGAAUGUAGUUAUGAUGUUGUUUUAUCUGUUUUUUUUCGGGAAAUCAUUGAUCAAAUUGAUGAAGAAUCAGAUCGAUGUGGUAAGGAGAUAAGGGAAAGCAACAGAGAUGUUUCAAACUAGUCCUCCUGCAAUUGAGAGGUUUUCCAGUGGCUUCAUGGUCUACUUCUCAACCCCGCAGAUUGACUUUCUCUACAUCUGAUUUAACAAAAAGGGUAGGGCUGUGCAUAGUAGGGAAUUGUUAUUUCGACACUUGUAUUGCCUUUCUCUAUCCUCCAUUGGAUAUAUCGGGUGGUUGAUAUAUUUGAUUGAGAGGCUGCUGUAGACACUUAGGAUGGAGAUGAUCCGGAUCCGAUAUAAUUACUAUUGUGUAUAUACUUGUCACAAAUUUGGAAUUUUAUACAAAAUUUUUAUAUCAAUGAAUACAGGAAGUAAGUCAUCAAAUGGCCAAAAUAUAGCUCAACUGAAGUAAGCCAUCUAAAUUGUGUUACUUCAUUAAUAUUCUCAUAUACUCUCGUUUUACUUGGUUUAGCGUGUUAGUAAUGAAGACAAAGCGCCUCCGACUCUUGGUGUCAAAAUUGUUUGUGAUGAAGCACUGAUUAGUUUAAAAUUAAAAAGAGGAAAUUAGGAGGAAGAGGCAUAAUAAUCUGUUAGCAAGGCUUAUGUCCCAUGUACGACGGCUCCAUCACUCUUGCACGAAGGCUCUGUUUUUUCCUGCACGAUUGCUACUUCCGCGUGUGAUUUUUGAUAUUUAUUGGAUACUAUUGUGUAAUCAGCAGCACUCUAUGGCCUGCUUCUACUUUAUGCAUAAUUGCAACAAUGUAAAAAAGACUCAAAUAGAAGAAGGCUAAGCUUUUUUGCCGGGAGUUUGUAUGUUUUGCUGCAGUACAUAAGUAGUUUGCAGAAGGAUGUUGGGAGUUGGUGAACAAUAUUUUGGUACUAAUUAAUUUUGUUUUUCAUUCCUUGCACAUUUUGCUCUUUUAUGAGUAUAAUAAUUAUAAAAUCAGGUUCUAUGUGCAAAAGGUUUGUUCUCUAAUUAGCUUCAAUAGUUCCUCGCAAAUCCCAAUCACCAUUUUAUUUUUGGACUAAUUAUAUUAUAUAGUACUUAUAUUGUAAUUCUUUAUUUUAUUUUGGAUCAGGCUGGCCCUAAAAUGUCUAUAUUUUUGGCUUAUGGGGGCUUAUUUCGAGUUACAGGUAGAGAGGAUGGCAAAAUACUACUUUAUAAUAUGCUGAAGUCUCAUAUUUUAGUGAUGUAUUGUUAUGUUUUUGUUAAGAAACCAUAAUAGGAUUGUUCAUUAGGAUAUUUAAUGACUAUAUACAGUACAUGUUCAACAUAGUAUAACUUGUAUUCUUUUUUGAUAUGUAAUUUGAUAAGUUUUCAUAUCU